rnacentral:rRNA from 1 species
UACGUAGGGUGCAAACGUUGUUCGGAAUCACUGGGCGUAAAGGGUGCGUAGGCGGGUCUUUAAGUCAGGGGUGAAAUCCUGGAGCUCAACUCCAGAACUGCCUUUGAUACUGAGGAUCUUGAGUUCGGGAGAGGUGAGUGGAACUGCGAGUGUAGAGGUGAAAUUCGUAGAUAUUCGCAAGAACACCAGUGGCGAAGGCGGCUCACUGGCCCGAUACUGACGCUGAGGCACGAAAGCGUGGGGAGCAAACAGG